rnacentral:ncRNA from 2 species
AUAAUUGCCGCCAACACAGGUGCCCAGCCUUAUACGCGCUGGGAUAAUCGGGAAGUAAGUUAAAGUCUUACGCUGCCCCCGCAACGGUAAUCAAACAAUCUCCAUAUUGUGUUCCCAACGUGCCACCGGCUUUGCCGGGAAGGCGGGACGCACGCCAUAGCGUGUUUGAAAGCCCGGAGACCGGCCUGUGCAGGGCGAUGCGA